rnacentral:rRNA from 1 species
UACGGAGGAUGCGAGCGUUAUCCGGAUUUAUUGGGUUUAAAGGGUGCGCAGGCGGCCGAGUAAGUCAGCGGUGAAAUUUUGCAGCUUAACUGUAACAGUGCCGUUGAUACUGCAUGGCUAGGAUUUGGUUGCUGUGGGUGGAAUGUGUGGUGUAGCGGUGAAAUGCUUAGAUAUCACACAGAAUAUCAAUUGCGAAGGCAGCUCACAAAGCCAAGAUUGACGCUGAGGCACGAAAGUGUGGGGAU